UCUGAGAGUUUGAUCCUGGCUCAGGACGAACGCUGGCGGCGUGCUUAACACAUGCAAGUCGAACGAUGAACCUGGAGCUUGCUCCAGGGGAUUAGUGGCGAACGGGUGAGUAACACGUGAGUAACCUGCCCUUGACUCUGGGAUAACCUCCGGAAACGGAAGCUAAUACCGGAUAUGACGCACGGAGGCAUCUCCUGUGCGUGGAAAGAACUUCGGUCAAGGAUGGACUCGCGGCCUAUCAGGUAGUUGGUGAGGUAACGGCUCACCAAGCCUACGACGGGUAGCCGGCCUGAGAGGGUGACCGGCCACACUGGGACUGAGACACGGCCCAGACUCCUACGGGAGGCAGCAGUGGGGAAUAUUGCACAAUGGGCGCAAGCCUGAUGCAGCAACGCCGCGUGAGGGAUGACGGCCUUCGGGUUGUAAACCUCUUUUAGUAGGGAAGAAGCGAAAGUGACGGUACCUGCAGAAAAAGCACCGGCUAACUACGUGCCAGCAGCCGCGGUAAUACGUAGGGUGCGAGCGUUGUCCGGAAUUAUUGGGCGUAAAGAGCUCGUAGGCGGUCUGUCGCGUCUGCUGUGAAAACCCGAGGCUCACCUCGGGCCUGCAGUGGGUACGGGCAGACUAGAGUGCGGUAGGGGAGAAUGGAAUUCCUGGUGUAGCGGUGGAAUGCGCAGAUAUCAGAGGAACACCGAUGGCG
rnacentral:rRNA from 1 species